GACGAACGCUGGCGGCGCGCUUAACACAUGCAAGUCGAACGGAAAGGCCUGCUUUCCCUUGUGGAUUGCGGGUACUCGAGUGGCUAACGGGCGAGUAACACGCGAGUGAUCUGCCCCCAACUUGGGUCUAAGCCCGGGAAACUGGGCCUAAUUCCCGAUAGGACUGCAGGGUGGUGUCUGUGGUGGCAAACGUUCUUCUAGUGGUUGGGGAUGAGCUCGCGGCCUAUCAGCUUGUUGGUGGGGUAAUUGCCUACCAAGGCGGCGACGGGUAGCCGGGCUGAGAGGGUGGACGGGAACAUUGAGACGGAGCUGAGGCCCAGGCUACGACGGAGGGCAGCAGUGGGGGAAAUUGCACAAUGCGCGGAAGAGCAAUGCAGCGACGCCGAGUGGGGGAUGACGGUCUUAGGGUUGUAAACUCCUUGAGGCCGCGAGGAGUCCACCUGGUUGGAAGGGUGGUGACGGUAGUGGUAGAAGAAGCACCGGAUAACUGCG
rnacentral:rRNA from 1 species